AAGAUCCAGUUUUGGACAUGAGACUCGUUGGGUGAUCAUUUUAUUGGGAUUAACUUGAACCAUCUAUGUAAACUACAGAGGAAUCGCUAUGACUGAGGGAACUCAAGUAUUUUUAUUGCCGAUCUCUACUUCAGAUUCUACAAAAGAACCACUGUCCACAGUGACUUCUCAAGCCCAGGAUUCUAGCCUUUCAGCAAACAGACCCGUGACUGAAAAACAGGCUCUCACCCCUACCCGCUUUUGAGAUAGGAUCUGACUAUGUAGUCCGUGCUGGCUUUCAACUCAGUGAGCUCUGCCUGCUUCUUGCCUCCUGAGUGCUGGUAUCAAAGGUAUAUGCCACCACACACAGCAGUUGCAGGAGGAAGCAGAAUGGGAAAGCAUCAGUAGGCUGUUGGUGACGCGUGGCUUUAAACCUUUGUGCCUAGUCAAAGGAGCCAAUCUCAGAGAUUUCAUCGUUUUUGACAAACAAUCAUCACAAAGAAUGAGGCAGGCUUUCAAAACACUGAUGGAAGAAACCACACGUCAGCAGAGCAUGCUACAGGAGCUCAUAGAGACAAACCAUCAGCUUAAAAGUGAACUUCAGCUAGAACAGAACCGAGCGGCACACCAGGAACAGCGAGCCAAUGACCUUCAGCAGAUCAUGGACAGUGUGAAAUCCAAAAUUGGUGAAUUAGAAGAUGAAUCGCUAAACAGGGUUUGCCAGGAACAAAAUAGAAUAAAAGACCUUCAAAAGGAAUAUAAAACGUUAC
rnacentral:lncRNA from 1 species